UUAACGGACAAAAGAAGUUUAUGCUCCUCCGCGAGACAUCAGACUGCGAAUUAUGUGGCAUUCUUUCCCGGAUUUAUCACUGCUUUUGAUCUUUUCUCCCCCUUUUUUCCAUCAUCUGGAGUAGCUGAUUCGCUGUAGAAGGGUAAGAUCCAAACCCUACUUACAUUCUUUCUGUUUUUAUUUGAGUUGAGGCAUUGUUUCUGAGCUGAAAGAUGGAUUCUUUUGUUUUUUUGUUUUUAAUGUUUAUGUUGAUUGAAGUAGUGUGAAUCACAUUUGAGUUGGUGGGAAUUGAUGACGUUGUCACUUUAGUUGAUGUGUGGUUUUGAGCACAAUGUUUGGUAGUGUCUUCAGCAAUUGCCAGUUUUGGAAAUGAGAAAAAAAUGUGAGUUUUGAUGCUGUUGUCUGUGACUUUGUGGGUUUUGACCUCAUUGUUUAUUUACUGAAUUGAUUUUGAUUGAAAUAUGGAAGCAGCAACUGUUUAAAGUUUGCUUUGCAAUGUCGUCCUAAACCUGAAACAGUCCAGUCUGUCAAUUUGUUCAGGGUAUUGAUUUGUUUUGUGAACUUGUUGGUGCAUUGAGGGUUGUAAGAAAUUGGUUUCAUUGUGUGUACAACAGGAAUUGAAUUGAGAUACUGGUCAUAAGAGUUUGGAUAAAUUUAGUUGCAUCACAUCAGCAUCUAAAUAGAGGAUGUUUACUUAAAAUAAAAUUGCUGGGCUCAUUUGUAAAUCAUCCAACUAAAAUUUUAUGUGAAGUGAAAUGAAGGCUAUCAAGUGUGACUUGAAGAAUGUGAUUCUGAAGCCUGCUAAAACGACAUGUAGGUCCAUGACCGAAGGUUUCGGUAGAGCUAACUAUUAUAGAGGUUGUGCAAUAUUAUGUGGAACUCAACUCAAGAGAUCAUGAUUUAAACCAAACUUUUCAAAUAUCUACAUGAUAUCCAACUUGCAUGCCAGGCAUGGGGAUGACAGUGAUAUUGUUCAAACACGGAACGUUAUGAGGGUGGCUGGCUGCCAAUACUCGUCUAUGUCGAGUAGCUGUCUGCAGGUAUAUGAGAGGGUUGUCAGUUUAGAAAAAGUUCCUCAAAUUUUAAAAGUUUCUUUUAAUGAUGAAAUUUUGGUGGAUCAAGCCUCAACUUCCAUGUUAGUCAUGUCCAAUGUACAAAAUUCCCUCAUGGAUGAUGCCUUCCAAGCUUUCCGGGAACAAGGGUGGAAACUUAAACUAUAAAGACAGCUUGUACUAUUUACUAGCAGGUUCAUUGAUGAUCUCGGUUUACGAUUAAUAUUACUUCUUGUUUGAACCUAGUUAUAUCAGAUUUCUGGUGUUGUCAAUUAUGUCCUCUUGUUGCCCAAUGGUUGGAUACAUAAAUUCCAUCGGAGAAUAGUGUCUAAAAAAUGAUAUAAAUUCACUCCUAAGUGGAGCCUUAUGGUAUCAAGAAUGACAAUCCAAGAAUUCAGACUUGAAAUAUUUCAACCACCAUGCUACAAGAAAUUUCAAAGGUUUUGACAAGUUGAAAACUCUUCAACUCUUUCGUUUCACAAUCUCAGACGGUGAAUUAUGCUCUUUGUUUCAACGAGGACUCAGUUACAAGACCCGGAAGUGCAUUGCUAUGCUUCUAUAUUCUAAAUAAAAUGUGCAAAAGAAAAUGUAACAGAUAUCAAUUCUUGAAGUAUGGCAAUCUUUGGUGCAUCUGAAACUCUUCUUGUGUCAAUUUUAUUUCUAGCUACCCUCAGUUGAAGGAGUUACAACUUCAAGCUUGGGAAGAUUUCAAUGAUCUGAGUAUUGACUGUAAAAGCCUUCAAUGUUUAAGGAGCUUGCGUGGUUUCAAGCAUCUCCAUUUGGUAGCCCCGUUACUGAAUGAAUGAUGUAUCUCUUGAUCUACUAUCUUGUAACAGAUACAAACAUGCCAAACUUCAUUGUGAAAUUCAAUGAAGAUGAAUAAUCAACUCAGUUCAUACUGUCAUGCUUCUUGAUUUUUGCAAAAUUUUUUGCAUUGCUGAACUCAUGUUCUGUUCUUUUUUCACCAGAUGGAGUGAAAAUGGCCUCCAAUUUCAAACAUUAUCACCAAUCUGGCAGCAGAAAUCAAAGAAAAAAUUCUACUAUUUUUCCUGAUAAGAUGCUGUUGGGAAAGGAUUUUAUCACUAAAUUGAGAUAUGUGUGGACUUCAGGACUAGUAAUUGAUGGAGAUGAUUUUCCGUCUGAGGAGAGUAAUAUAAAGUUUUCUAAUUUUGUUGAUCAAGUUCUCACAUUACAUGAUGGGCAAAUUUAUCGGAUCUAUCUUGUGAUGGAGGUUCAAAGAUCUGAAACCAUGCAUAAGUGGAUCCUUAUGGCAUCAAUAAAGAAAAUCCAACACAUCAAACUUGAAAGGUAAAUUGGCUAUAAGAUCCAUUCGAGUCUCUUCUCUUUUUCUUUAGCUGAGGCAUCUUCAGCUCUGCAAUUUUGUACUUCACCGCAAAACUUCAAAGGUUUCAAUAAGUUGAAGGCACUUGUACUCGAUAACAUCAUAAACUUAUCUUAUGCCGAUUUAAAGUUUCCGAGCACUCAGUUACAGAAACCGACACUGAUGUAUCUGUGUGAUUCUGCAUGUCUUGAUAACAAAGGGACAAAACAAUAAAACUUGACUACUUUUGGUUUGUUUGAGUUCUUUUCGACAUAUUAUCAUCCACUGGAUGCAAGCACGAACUUAAGGUCAGACACACAUAAUUUUUUUGCUAAGUUGUUAUUAUGCCAUGCUUUGGUGCGUCUGAAACUUUAUGACAGUGACCUUGCACGGCCUCAAAAUUUCCAAGGCUUUUAAAAGUUGCAGAUUCUUCACCUCCCUGAUGCAUUGCUUUUGCUGGAUGGAGUCAAGAAUUUGAUUUUUAGAAGCUGUCAGUUAACAGGACUUAGAAUUCGAUUUUGAGCAGCCGUCGGUUAAAGGACUUAGAAAUAUGUUUAUUGUGAGAUUGCACUGGUUUCAGUAUUCACUUAAAAACUCUCCGAUGUUCAAGGAUCAUGCAUAUUGUCAAUCAUCUCCAUUUGGUAACUCCUCUACUUAGUGAUGCAUCCAUCAACCUAUUAUAUAUUGAUCGUCAUGGAAUUCGAGAGCAAAGUAAUCGACUUCAUAAGGUAUUGGAAAAGUUACAUACAAAAGAUACAUUCCCUAUAAAUUCAAUCAUUUGGUGAAUCCUUUUUUGAAGAUUGGAUUUCUGCUUAUUUGAAAAAGCUAAUGUUGUACUAGAACUUAAAAUAAAGGCACAUUCAUUGGAAGAACGCUCUUCUACAAACAUUUGGGAAUAUUCAAAGUGCACAUUUGGAAUUUAGAUUUGAUCACCUUCUUGUGUUGAAGUUUGACAGCAUUCCAGGUUAUGAUACUGAACUUUCAAUUUUGGAUUUCAUACUCAGUAUUGCACCAUUGCUUACAGAACUGAAAAUAUUUGAUAAAAAGGGAAGUAUUGAAAUCUCUAAUAACCUGCUGAAGUUUAAGAGAUUGACCAAAAAAAUUUAUAUCAUUUAUGGCUGAGCUUAUUGGUCAUUUAGAAUAUCCUUGUCUAGGAAAUUAAUGAAUCCAGUCUUAUAAUCAAAACUUCUAAUAUUGCUGGGUUUUGAUAAAAAAGAUUUAUUAUAUGUUUUCAUUACCUCCUUG